rnacentral:rRNA from 1 species
UACGUAGGUGGCAAGCGUUGUCCGGAAUUAUUGGGCGUAAAGCGCGCGCAGGCGGUUUCUUAAGUCUGAUGUGAAAGCCCACGGCUCAACCGUGGAGGGUCAUUGGAAACUGGGGAACUUGAGUGCAGAAGAGGAGAGUGGAAUUCCACGUGUAGCGGUGAAAUGCGUAGAGAUGUGGAGGAACACCAGUGGCGAAGGCGACUCUCUGGUCUGUAACUGACGCUGAGGCGCGAAAGCGUGGGGAGCAAACAGG